rnacentral:tRNA from 1 species
GCACGGAUAGCAAAGCUUGGCCAUGCCGGGGAUUGCAAAUCCUCUUACCUGGGUUCAAAUCCCAGUCCGUGCU